rnacentral:rRNA from 1 species
UACAGAGGGUGCGAGCGUUGUUCGGAAUUAUUGGGCGUAAAGGGCGCGUAGGCGGCGCCACAAGUCACCUGUGAAAACUCUGGGCUCAACCCAGAGCCUGCAGGCGAAACUGUGGUGCUGGAGUAUGGGAGAGGUGCGUGGAAUUCCCGGUGUAGCGGUGAAAUGCGUAGAUAUCAAGAGGAACACCUGAGGUGAAGACGGGUUGCUGGGCUGACACUAACGCUGAUGCGCGAAAGCCAGGGGAGCAAACGGG